CCCAGCUGUAGGCACUGCCUAGCUUGCAGGCUGCCUAGGCAAGUGUUACACUGCUGGGAGAAAAGCAGCAAAUAACUGGCAAGCAUCCUGGGUCUGAUUAAUGCUAAAUU
rnacentral:snoRNA from 1 species